UACGUAUGGUGCAAGCGUUAUCCGGAUUUACUGGGUAUAAAGGGAGCGCAGGCGGUACGGCAAGUCUGAUGUGAAAGCCCGGGGCUCAACCCCGGUACUGCAUUGGAAACUGUCGGACUAGAGUGUCGGAGGGGUAAGUGGAAUUCCUAGUGUAGCGGUGAAAUGCGUAGAUAUUAGGAGGAACACCAGUGGCGAAGGCGGCUUACUGGACGAUUACUGACGCUGAGGCUCGAAAGCGUGGGGAGCAAACAGG
rnacentral:rRNA from 1 species